rnacentral:tRNA from 1 species
CAGGGUGUAGCUAAGCUAGACCAGCACCUCACUUACACCGAGAAGACAUCCGUGCGAGCCGGAUCGCCCUGA